GUCCGCGCCCCCACCCGAAAGGACGACGUCUCCCCCCCCAAGGGGAAUUCCGCACUAAGGCCGUAAUAGGGGCUUUUCCCCCCCCCCCCUUUUUUUUUUUUUUUUUUUUUGAGACGGAGUCCCGCUCUUCCUGCUCAGUCGCCCAGGCUGGAGUGCAGUGGCGCUAUCUUCUCGGCUCACUGCAACCUCCACCUCCCAGGUUCAAGUGAUUCUUCUGCCUCAGCCUCCCAAGUAGGUGGGAUUACAGGCGUCCGCCGUCAUGCCUGGCGAAUUUUUGUACUUUUGGUAGAGAUGGGGUUUCUUCAUGUUGGCCAGGCUGGUCUUGAACUCCUGAGUCACCACUCUUUAAUGCCGCUGUUCCCCUCCUGUUCCUUCUGUGUCGGUCUCCGAACGCCCGGCGCAAGGCACUACUCGGAAUCGGAGAGGGAGAGAGCCGCGAGACCCAGAGAAAAAGAGGGCUGAAGAGCGCGUGAGACGUCAAGGUUCUGUAAUCCAAGAUGUCUAUAAAGAACUGGGAUAUCAAUAGGAAAUCAUCUUCAUCCAGACUUAUUCCUGAGUGGAAGAACUUGAAGUUCCUCAUAAAUAAGAUCCUGAAGGACAUAAAGAUUGAUGAAGAACCAAAGAAUGAUGUGGUUCUACUAAGUGACUGGCCUGAGACUCUAUACCGGGAGUCUCACCAUCGCCAGAACAAACCUUUUGUCUGCUUCUACUACUCCAUCAAGAUCAACUGUUUUAUCUCCUUAAACUGGAUGGAACCUGGUGGAAAAAUGCAGGGCAAUUUCUACGCUGGAAACAUGGCUGGAGAGAUCCACGCUUGGGGUUUAGACCAGGGUAACUUCCUCCACAGCUUUCAAGCCCAUUCCUCAUCAGUGAUAUGUAUCCAUAGCCGGCCAGAGAUCCACACCUUACUAACAGCAGGCAGUGAAGGCACAGUGAGGGAAUGGAAUCUCACUUAUGGGAACUUGCUGCGGCAGCUGAAUGUUGACGAGGAUCUUCAGAGACUGCAGUUUAUUGAUAAUACCACUUUUUUCUGCCAGACCACCUACAGUUUUUCAUUGCAUCACCUGCCCUACUUUUAUAGCCUCUUCAAUGUCUGUGGUUCUGCUCCCCAGCAGGUGCAGCGGG
rnacentral:lncRNA from 1 species